rnacentral:rRNA from 1 species
CGGUUAUACCAAGUGAUUAAGCUAUAUUCUUAGGUAAAAAGACAGUUAGGUUUAUAAUUAAAUUUAGUCUAUUAACCACCUAUAAAAAGGUAAAAUUUGUAUAUAGGUAGCUAAUCUAGAAACGGCUAUGAUAUGCUGAAGCUGUGAUAGUCUUGAGGGAAACUGGGAUUAGAUACCCCAUUAUUCUUGACUGUAAAUAUAACUAAAUUUACCAGAGUACUAUGAAUAGUUAAAAAUUUAAAACUCAAAGGGCUUGGCGGUGUUUUAGACCCAUCARGGGAACCUGUCUCGUAAUSUACAAUCCACGUUAUAUCUAACCUCAUUUUGUAUUCAGUUUGUAUACUGUCGUUGUCAGGUAACUUUUAAAAAUAUAGAACUUAGCAAUAAAAAUUACGUAACUUAAUACSUCACAUCAAGGUGCAGCCUAUAAUGAGGAGAGGAUGGGUUACAAUUAUUAAAUUUAUAAUUACGGAAAUUUAAAUGAAACUGUAUUUAAAAGGAGGACUGAAAGUAACCUAACAGAUAUUUUUACUUUGAAUAUAGCUCUG